rnacentral:misc_RNA from 1 species
UUCUCUAUAUGCUGAUUGUA